rfam:Dipodomys ordii contig_54053, whole genome shotgun sequence.
UGGCUCAGUGGUAGAGCGCUUGCCUUGCAUGCCAGAGGCCCUGGGUUCAAUUCCUCAG